GUCAUUUAGACGGACGAGGAGGCUUACUGGCGUCUCAGGGGAACCCAAAAGUGGGUUCUCAAGGGGGACGCUAACACCGCAUACUUCCAGGCCAUCGCCAAUGGCCGUCGUCGCCGCAAUACCAUCCCACUUCUAUGGGAUGGUGAGACCCUCCUGCAGCACCCGGCCGAACUCCGCGCUCAUGUGGACGGCUUCUAUAAAGACCUUUUUAUGCCCCCCCGCGGGGUCUUGGCUCUUGCUCCUACCUUCUGGGUGGGCGACCAAUGUGUGUCGAACGCGGAGAAUGAGGCCCUCACGGCUCCAUUCUCGGAGGAGGAAGUUUGGCUUGCGAUUAAAGGCAUGAACUCGGCGUCCGCCCCGGGGCCUGAUGGCUUGCCAGUUAAGUUCUUUCAGACCUUCUGGCACACUAUCAAGCGGGAGAUCAUGGCCCUCUUUGAGGAGUUCUAUGUGGGCUCCAUUGACCUCCACCGCCUUAAUUACGGGAUUAUUACCUUGAUCCCCAAGGUCCCGGGUGCCGCCGACAUUCGCUAG
rnacentral:rRNA from 1 species